rnacentral:misc_RNA from 1 species
GAUGAAGAACGUAGCGAAAUGCGAUACGUAAUGUGAAUUGCAAAUUCAGUGAAUCAUCGAGUCUUUGAACGCACAUUGCGCCCCCUGGUAUUCCGGGGGGCAUGCCUGUCCGAGCGUCAUUUACCACCCUCGGGCCCCCUUGGGGGCCCGGUGCUGGGGGCACGGCCCAGGCCGCCCCCGAAAUGCAGUGGCGACCCCGCCGCGUCCUCCCCUGCGCAGUAGCACAAUCUCGCACCGGAAGCGCGGAGGCGGUCACGCCUGGAAACGCCCCAACUCAACGCAGUUGACCUCGGAUCAGGUAGGAGUACCCGCUGAACUUAAGCAUAUCAAUAAGCGGAGGA